rnacentral:lncRNA from 1 species
AAGCGCAGAGAAAGCUUAGAGGGAAAAGCACCAACUUUUUUACAUUCUGACUAAAGGCAAUAACAAAGAUUCAAGGUCACAAGGGAAACUUUUAAAUCAGGAAGAAGAAAGACAUGGUUGAUGCUCACCCGUCAGCAAGUUUCCCUCUUCCAAGGACAAUUAUGCAUGUAACAAACUUUCAUAAGCUACAGAGUGUGACGCUGAAAUCCACCCCCACCACCAGGCCCAGACAGUUUGGUAUGCCAGAUACACUUAAUUGUCUUUCUCUGCUUUUAAGAGAUAAGAUGCUUGCUUCUUUUGACGGAUAAGCUUUUCUGGCAAUUUUUUUGUCCGCAAACAUAAGAAGCAAAAAUUACUGUGCAAUAUAUUAUCUGGGGUUCAUUGGUCUUGCAGUGAUUAUUACCUACAGGUAUAUCCAAGUACUGAUGUCGCCUAGGUCAUGAGGUGUUUGAAGUAUUGCCACAGAGAGAAUUGUAUCAGGUUCUGAAUUGGGUGGUUAGGACUUGGGCCUGGUCUUCUCUCAUUUGUUAUAUUGGUUAGGUUAACAGAAGGAGAAAAUUGAACUGAUGGGUUUGCUUAAUUUGGUGUUUGUUUGUGGAAUCUGCAAUUGAAUUUGUAGAAGUUAAUGGAAGUGAUUUUAAUGUUUCUUGUUGCUCGGCUUUUCAUUGCAGGAAUAUUACGCUUUCGUAUCAGAGAUGAUCUUACCAUUGAAUUAU